rnacentral:sRNA from 3 species
AAGAUUCGAACCUGCCGCAGGUUCGGGUCGAACGCAGUGAGACAACGGAGCCGCUUGCGGCGACGGCCCGAAGGGCGAGCGAAGCGAGUCAUCCUGCACGACCCACCA